rnacentral:rRNA from 1 species
GGGUUGUGAGGUUAAGCGACUAAGCGUACACGGUGGAUGCCCUGGCAGUCAGAGGCGAUGAAGGACGUGCUAAUCUGCGAUAAGCGUCGGUAAGGUGAUAUGAACCGUUAUAACCGGCGAUUUCCGAAUGGGGAAACCCAGUGUGUUUCGACACACUAUCAUUAACUGAAUCCAUAGGUUAAUGAGGCGAACCGGGGGAACUGAAACAUCUAAGUACCCCGAGGAAAAGAAAUCAACCGAGAUUCCCCCAGUAGCGGCGAGCGAACGGGGAGGAGCCCAGAGCCUGAAUCAGUGUGUGUGUUAGUGGAAGCGUCUGGAAAGGCGCGCGAUACAGGGUGACAGCCCCGUACACAAAAAUGCACAUACUGUGAGCUCGAUGAGUAGGGCGGGACACGUGGUAUCCUGUCUGAAUAUGGGGGGACCAUCCUCCAAGGCUAAAUACUCCUGACUGACCGAUAGUGAACCAGUACCGUGAGGGAAAGGCGAAAAGAACCCCGGCGAGGGGAGUGAAAAAGAACCUGAAACCGUGUACGUACAAGCAGUGGGAGCCUCUUUAUGGGGUGACUGCGUACCUUUUGUAUAAUGGGUCAGCGACUUAUAUUCUGUAGCAAGGUUAACCGAAUAGGGGAGCCGAAGGGAAACCGAGUCUUAACUGGGCGUUAAGUUGCAGGGUAUAGACCCGAAACCCGGUGAUCUAGCCAUGGGCAGGUUGAAGGUUGGGUAACACUAACUGGAGGACCGAACCGACUAAUGUUGAAAAAUUAGCGGAUGACUUGUGGCUGGGGGUGAAAGGCCAAUCAAACCGGGAGAUAGCUGGUUCUCCCCGAAAGCUAUUUAGGUAGCGCCUCGUGAAUUCAUCUCCGGGGGUAGAGCACUGUUUCGGCAAGGGGGUCAUCCCGACUUACCAACCCGAUGCAAACUGCGAAUACCGGAGAAUGUUAUCACGGGAGACACACGGCGGGUGCUAACGUCCGUCGUGAAGAGGGAAACAACCCAGACCGCCAGCUAAGGUCCCAAAGUCAUGGUUAAGUGGGAAACGAUGUGGGAAGGCCCAGACAGCCAGGAUGUUGGCUUAGAAGCAGCCAUCAUUUAAAGAAAGCGUAAUAGCUCACUGGUCGAGUCGGCCUGCGCGGAAGAUGUAACGGGGCUAAACCAUGCACCGAAGCUGCGGCAGCGACGCUUAUGCGUUGUUGGGUA